rnacentral:rRNA from 1 species
UACAGAGGUCUCAAGCGUUGUUCGGAUUCAUUGGGCGUAAAGGGCGCGUAGGCGGCGGGGUAAGUCGGGUGUGAAAUCUCAGAGCUCAACUCUGAAAUGGCACUUGAUACUGCUCUGCUAGAGGACUGGAGAGGAGAUUGGAAUUCACGGUGUAGCAGUGAAAUGCGUAGAUAUCGUGAGGAAGACCGGUGGCGAAGGCGGGUUGCUGGGCCGACACUGACGCUGAUGCGCGAAAGCCAGGGGAGCGAACGGG